rnacentral:rRNA from 1 species
UAGGGAAUCUUCGGCAAUGGGACGAAAAGUCUGACCGAGCAACGCCGCGUGAGUGAAGAAGGUUUUCGGAUCGUAAAACUCUGUUGGUAGAGAAGAACGUUGGUGAGAGUGGAAAGCUCAUCAAGUGACGGUAACUACCCAGAAAGGGACGGCUAACUACGUGCCAG